rnacentral:rRNA from 1 species
AGUGAACGCUGGCGGCAGGCCUAAUACAUGCAAGUCGAACGGCAGCACAGUGGAGCUUGCUCCAUGGGUGGCGAGUGGCGGACGGGUGAGGAAUACAUGGGAAUCUGCCCAGUCGUGGGGGAUAACGUAGGGAAACUUACGCUAAUACCGCAUGCGCCCUUCGGGGGAAAGCCGGGGACCUUCGGGCCUGGCGCGAUUGGAUGAGCCCAUGUUCGAUUAGCUAGUUGGCGGGGUAAAGGCCCACCAAGGCGACGAUCGAUAGCUGGUCUGAGAGGAUGAUCAGCCACACUGGGACUGAGACACGGCCCAGACUCCUACGGGAGGUAGCGGUAGGGAAUAUUGGACAAUGGGCGCAAGCCUGAUCCAGCCAUGCCGCGUGAGUGAAGAAGGCCCUCGGGUUGUAAAGCUCUUUUGUCCGGGAAGAAAAGCAUCGGGCUAAUACCUCGGUGUUCUGACGGUACCGGAAGAAUAAGCACCGGCUAACUUCGUG